rnacentral:rRNA from 1 species
AGAGUUUGAUCAGUGGCUCGAGGACGAACGCUGGCGGCGCGCUUAACACAUGCAAGUCGAACGGUGAACCAGAGCUUGCUCUGGGGAUCAGUGGCGAACGGGUGAGUAACACGUGGGCAACCUGCCCCAGACUCCGGGAUAACCUCGGGAAACCGAUGCUAAUACCGGAUACGACCACUUCGGACAUCCGACGGUGGUGGAAAGUUUUUCGGUCUGGGAUGGGCCCGCGGCCUAUCAGCUAGUUGGUGGGGUAAUGGCCUACCAAGGCGACGACGGGUAGCCGGCCUGAGAGGGCGACCGGCCACACUGGAACUGAGACACGGUCCAGACUCCUACGGGAGGCAGCAGUGGGGAAUAUUGCACAAUGGGCGAAAGCCUGACGCAGCGACGCCGCGUGAGGGACGACGGCCUUCGGGUUGUAAACCUCUUUCAGCAGGGACGAAGCGAAAGUGACUGUACCUGCAGAAGAAGCACCGGCUAACUACGUG